GAACUACGCGGGUUUGAUUCUCACCGGAUGUGAGAUACGUAGGCAACCCUCAUCGGGUCCAACCCCACCUUUGCUAAAAUAGCCAAAAAAAAAAUUAUAAAUAAGUCGGGUGAUGUCCAACCCACCUUUUGCUAAAAUAGCCAAAAAUCAAAAAUUUUAAUCUUGUUAUAAAUAAGUCGGGUGAUGCUGUUUUGUCAAAAAUAGCCGAAUGUUCCCGAAAGGGACCCCGGAAGGCUGACUUUGCACAAACGGCCACUUUUGGGUCAUGUUUAAGAUUUGGUCCAGUUGACCCACACAGCCUUAAAAAUCUUCGUCCCCGAGACGUUGAAAGGCCGUGUUUGCAAUAUUGAGUUUUCUAUUUUUGAAAAAUGAUAAAAAGAGUCAUAAAUAAAUCAGGUGAUGUUGUUUGUCAUAAAUAGCCGAAUGUUCCCGAAAGGGACGCCGGAAGGCUGAUUUUGCAUAAACAACCACCUUUUGGGGUCAUGUUUAGGAGUUUGGUCCAGUUGACCCGCACAGCCUUAAAAAUCUUCGUCCCCGAGGCGCUGAAGGGACGCGUUUGCAACACCAGGUUUUAUUAUAAUCUGAAAAGAAAAAAAAUACCGUUUGAAUUUUGUCAUAAUAAGCCGAGCCAGCUUCGGCCGCGUCUUAAACCGUUCUUGCCGAAAUAGCCUUAGAGUAUCUUCAGUUGUCGAAAGGUUAUUUUCGUAAAAGAAUGGACAAAUUUGUAAAGUGUCAUAAAAUAAUCCUCCCCGGCCUCAAAAUUUAUAUGAAAUUUGGAAGGGGCCACAUUUGCAAAGAAUAACCGUCUGGUUGCAUU
rnacentral:lncRNA from 1 species